UUGUCAUUCCUAUUGAGUACUCAUGCUUGAGCUACAGAAGGCAUUUGACACUGCUGGACUUUAAAGCUCUUUUUGAGGAGUAUCACAACCUGGCCUUGAGAGAUCUGCAGUUUUGGAGUGUUUCAGAUUUUUAAGAGGUACUUCGAUUUCAUGAGGUAGCGAGUGAAGAUGAAGUGAAGGAGAGGUAACAAAAAGAGCUGCAUAUUUUCUGCUUUACGUGGUCGUGAGCAAGAUCUGCUCUGAGCACCAGGAGCAAUAUUGCCAUAGAUCAGCAUAUCACCCAGUGAUGGAACUGUGGUUUGCACACUCUAUUCACAGCUUUGAGAACAUGGCCCUGAACACGAGCUGCUCACGUGGUCGGCUAGUUGGUUGCAACAUUAAAACAUUAGGAGAGUGCAAAGGAGUAAAAGGGUCAAAAAUCAAUUCUGCAGUCAAAUGGCUCAGGGGACUUCAUU